rnacentral:lncRNA from 1 species
UGGGCUUUUCUGCUGCUUGGCCUGCGGUGCCAUCUCAUCUGUUUGGCAGGCCUCCCAGAAAGCCCUCCUCAGUGCCGCAUUGUUCCUGUGCUGGAGGCAGCUGGAGCACCUGGUGCAGACAGCGCAGUUCCGGCAGAUCAGCGAGUGCCUGGUACGCACAUUCCCACACUCCAGGACAGGGUCGGGACCACCCUGCACUGACCCCGCACUCUUCCCUCUUCCCUCUCCAGCUGGCCAAGAGGAGGAGGAAGAAUGCGGCACAGGACUACCUGGGCCAGAGCCUGCUCUACCUACGGAGCCUGCAGGACCCCUGUGCCGUGAAGCUGUGAAAUUCAUUGGUGAGCCACGAGACUGAGCCUCCCCUGUCCCUGGCCCUCCACGCUGCACCCAGGGAGCAGCUGGGGUCGCUGACAGGGCCGUGUGUUCAUAGGGCUCUUAGGGCAGCAUGUGAGGGAUCAGCAGCAGGCCGAGAAAGAGUGCAUCUACCAAGGACUUCAAGGAGUGCAGCGAGACCCCAGUCCAUCUGUCUCCUCGCUGGCCCUUCAGACACUGAAGAUCCUGCAGGAAACGAGGCCACGUCCACCAUGAGGAGACUUGGGGCAGCUCUUCUCCAGGCUCCGGAGUGCAUGGAGGAGGUUGCGCUCUUCGUGGGCAGACAGCUGAGCGCCCUGGAAAGCUCCCGGCAUCUCCUCCUACCCGCUGCUCAGCUCUGCAAAUUUGUCUGACUUGAUGAGAAUCUCUGUAUUUGCAGAAGCUCAGAUCAUCAGCAGCACAGGCAUACUUGUUCCUGCAAGAGGUGAAAGGAUUAUUCUAAAAUAUCCUUUUCAGAUGUAAGUGGAUGAAAUAAUUGAAAGAAGAACUGAUCACACAAGUCUCCUUAUUAACCUCUUUUUCACCAACCCAUCUGUUACCAUCCAGCCUGGUCAAUUCAGUAUAGCAAACUGCCUCAUUCCUUUUAGCACAAAUUAUGAGAUGUAUGAAGAUUUAACAGAAAACAGAAAACCAACCUUCCUUGCAGAACAGUUCCUGAGUGCUUGGCAAACCUAUUAGCCA